GGUGAGUAAUGUAUAGGAAUCUACCUAGUAGUACGGAAUAAUUGUUGGAAACGGCAACUAAUACCGUAUACGCCCUACGGGGAAAAAUUUAUUGCUAUUAGAUGAGCCUAUAUUAGAUUAGCUAGUUGGUGGAGUAAUAGCCUACCAAGGCAAUGAUCUAUAGCUGAUCUGAGAGGAUGAUCAGCCACACUGGAACUGAGAUAC
rnacentral:rRNA from 1 species